GGGGUUGUGGCUCAGUGGUAGAGCACUUGCCUAGGAUGUGCAAGGUGCUGGGUUUGAUCCUCAGCACCA
rnacentral:tRNA from 1 species